UGGGGAAUAUUGGACAAUGGAGGAAACUCUGAUCCAGCAAUUCUGUGUGUGUGAAGAAGGUUUUAGGACUGUAAAACACUUUUAGUAGGGAAGAAAGAAAUGACGGUACCUACAGAAGAAGCGACGGCUAAAUACGUGCCAGCAGCCGCGGUAAUACGUAUGUCGCGAGCGUUAUCCGGAAUUAUUGGGCUUAAAGGGCAUCUAGGCGGUUAAACAAGUUGAAGGUGAAAACCUGUGGCUCAACCAUAGGCUUGCCUACAAAACUGUAUAACUAGAGUACUGGAAAGGUGGGUGGAACUACACGAGUAGAGGUGAAAUUCGUAGAUAUGUGUAGGAAUGCCGAUGAUGAAGAUAACUCACUGGACAGCAACUGACGCUGAAGUGCGAAAGCUAGGGGAGCAAACAGG
rnacentral:rRNA from 1 species